CAGGUACUCCUUCCGUCCCGAAUUACUUGUCGCAGAAAUGGAUGUAUCUAGAACUAAAAAUACGUCUAGAUACAUCCAUUUCUGUGACAAGUAAUUCGGGACGGAGGGAGUAUAAC
rnacentral:pre_miRNA from 1 species